rnacentral:rRNA from 1 species
CACGUAGGGGGCAAGCGUUGUCCGGAAUUAUUGGGCGUAAAGAGCUCGUAGGCGGUGUGUCGCGUCGGCCGUGAAAACCUGCAGCUUAACUGUGGGCGUGCGGUCGAUACGGGCAUCACUGGAGUUCGGCAGGGGAGACUGGAAUUCCUGGUGUAGCGGUGAAAUGCGCAGAUAUCAGGAGGAACACCGGUGGCGAAGGCGGGUCUCUGGGCCGAUACUGACGCUGAGGAGCGAAAGCGUGGGGAGCGAACAGG